UAUAUAUAUUCAGUGUUUGUUGCUAUAUUGGUGUUUUACUACCCUGAAAUACGAACUACCCUGAAAACUGAAAAGACUUUUACAGACACAGAUGGUAAAAGCGAGCUAUUAAAAGUGAGCUAUCAUUUCUAUUUACAAUGUAUAUGAAAUACUACUUAAAGGGGCCAUGGCAUAAGACUUUUUAAGAUGUAAACUAAAUCUUUGGUGUCCCCAGGGCACAUAUGUGAAGUUUUAGCUCAAAAUACCAUAUAGAUAAUUUAUUAUAACAUGUUAAAAUUUGCCACUUUGUAGGUGUGUGCAAAAAUGGUCCGUUUUGGGUGUGUCCUUAAAAAUGCAAAUGAGCGGAUGAAGUGCAAACACUGAUCACAAUGAUGGUGGUUUGAUGCAAUUCAAACUCAGUUGUGCUGUCAAUUAUUUUUCUCUUUCUCUUUCUCUCUAAACUAAAUGGCUGUGUCGUGGUUGGAUAGUACAGAUUAAGGGGUGGUAUUAUUAUUAUUAUUAUUAUAAGAUCUCCUUAUGACAUCACAAGGAGAGCCAAAUUUCAAUGACCAAUUUUUUCACAUGCUUGCAGAAAAUGGUUUACUAUAACUAAGUUGGUUGUACUUUUUCACAUUUUCUAGGUUUGUAGAAGCACUGGGGACCCAAUUAUAGCACUUAAACAUGGAAAAAGUCAGAUUUCCAUGCCAUGGCCCCUUUAAGUUAUCUUUUUCUUCCAGACAUUUUGUCACUUUGUACGAUUUAUAUGUUUGUUUGUUUUUUAAGAUUUUUUUGUUUGCUCACUAUUUUCAGUACUGAUAAAGACUUCCUCAGACACAGAAAAGUAAAGGUGAACUUCACUUGAAUCUUCAAUGUAUAUAAAAAAUAUGUUAAGCAGUUAGGAUGUUUUAAACAUAAGUAUGUUUAAAAAAAAAAAAUGUUGAAUAAAAAUUUUAAAUGUUAAAUGUUACAACAGUUUAUUUUCAACAUUUGUUAAAACAAACAUGUGAAAAUUGUAGUUAAAUGCAUUUAAAAAAACUCAUACUAUUUGAUAUUAAGUGUUUGUUAUGACAAAUACUGAUACUAAAAUGGUCCUGUUCAUAUAUAAUUCCUCCUUGUUUUUCAUAAUGUGAUAUUUAGGGAAUUGCAUUGAAUCCAAUAAGGGUCAAUUUGACCCGCUUCAUCAAAAUUGUCACAAAAAUCGAAUACAAUACAAUACAUCUGGUACUACCAUAUUUUGUAUAUGUCCAAAUAAAAACAAUAUGGUAUUACCAUCCCAGAUGUUUUUUUUAUUGCUCAGAGGCUGCUGGAUAUCUCAAGAGACCUAGUCUUUGUUUCAAAUGUGUCCCAGAUGUUCCUUUUUAAAUUCCUUAAUAGACAGAAAGAUACAAAUUCGACUUGAAUAAUACUUGAAUUUCUUGAUAUCUAAUUGAAGACUUUGGCACAUCCGAGCAUCAUUUGAUACCUUAUUGAGAUCUCUUCUGAAACUCUAGAAGAGAGGUGACAAAACAUCUCAGAUCCCUCGUAUUUGCAUUAUUUUCACCUAUUGCUCAUUUUUUAUUAGUGCAUAACAUAAAAAUAUGUUUUUAUAUUUUGUCAUUUAUAUCUGUGGUAAUACUUUUUAGCUUGUUUUAAGAACAAAGGUGUGCGGUUUCCCGGACAGGGUUUAGAUUAAUCCAGGACUAGGCCUUGGUUAUAGACGGUUUCACCAGUAACAACAUAAACAAGCACCUUUCGUGGUCAACACGUAACUUCCGGUAAACUUUGAUAAGAAUAAAUAUCAACAAAGUCCUUUUAAAGUAGUUUAUUUAUAUAACAAGCAAAAUAAACAACAUGUUUACCUAGGAAACCAAAACAUUUGUUAUUUUCGACAAGGUAUUUGUUUAUUCGAAUAUAAAGAAUGCAUUAUGUCAGCUAACCAAUAACACAUAAUGUAAAGCAAUUUGCUGGUGCAAACUUACAUUUACAUACAAACGUCCGUACUUAAGUAAUAUAUACUCUUUACUCUUAUAAUAGUGAUGGUCGCAAUGUAUCAUGCAAAUCACAGAAAUUUCCCCCAAAGCAACAUUCCCAUGCUCCUAAUCCGCUGUGUGCUCCUGGUAUGUGUCAAUUAUCCUCUCUCACCAACUUCCACAUAGCCUCUCAGUCUCCAUGCAUCGUUCCUCUGUAACGUUUUUUUGCGAGCGCUCCUGUCAAAUGUUUGUUAUGUUAGCAGCGCUCGCCAGCACUCCCAGUCGCCCCCUUGAAACCUCAUUCAUUUGGCCUGCCUGACUCUCAGCCCUUGCGCAACUGCAUUGCACAAAUAAUUAAAGGCUUUAGUUAAAUACAUAGUUGGGGUAUUUGGAGACUAGGGGGAUCUGUAAUAACAUUUGCCAUUAUUCACUCAGGCUUUGAUUGCCUGACAGAAACAAAUUAGGCCCUAGGAUUAAUUUCCAGCAAAACGUGCCAAGUGAAUGCAAUUGACUCCAAUUAAAGCAUGAAAGGACACUAAAUAUUCAAAUCAGCCGAGCGGGUGAUAGCGGGCCGAUAAAGAAUGGCGUGGAAUUGUGCCAAGGGAGAAAACCAGCCGUUCACGGGCACCUGAGGGAAAAUAACAGGGUCGUGUAGCAAUAAUGUGUAGCUGGGGCAACAGACAUGUUUCAGCGCUAGAACAUGCCCCCGCUGGCGUGUUGUUUUGGUAGGGUCACGUCAACGGUCGUUUUGUGUUUGGAGCUGAUUUGACUAUCAAGGCCACAUUAAAACACCUAAGUGCUGAUGUAUUAUACAUGCUAAGUGCUUGUUCAGGUUUAUGCGGAGGCACGUUUUGUAAUAGGCAGGGUUGUCACAUACAUGGGCGUAAUUAGGGUGAUUAAAAAAUAAUGUCCCAGAAUGCAAAUUUCACACUGAUGGUGGCAUCUGCAAUCAUAACAUGUGCACUGUGGGAUUGCUUGUAGUGUAUGUACAGUAAGAUUGUUAAUAGCGCGAUUAACUCGUUUUCGAUUCUGGAUUAUAUGUAACAUCAGAUACAUUCAAAUCUGUCUUAAUAAUUCAUUUACAUUAAGUAUAUUUGAAGUAUUUCAGCAGGUUGCAGUAUGAGGAGCUGGAUAGUUUGACCCUCAGAUGGAAGUGGUGGCCGUGGAUGACUUGCGUAUGAACUUUUAAAUGCUGCAAAAGUCAUCAAACAUGUGGUUGAAGAAGAUCAGGCCUUGAGAAGCCCAGCUGAGCCAACAGCUGGCUAACAGCCCUGCUAACACAGACAUUGACGGAGGAGCCAGACACACUUAACAAACAAAGUGGAGAUCGGUGAAAAGCAGUAUCCCGUUUCGAGCACUCUUGACCUUUACCUGUUUUGGCUGCAUGCAACUGCAAUUUUCAACCGUCCACUGCGUUAGGCUGAUUAGGGUCUGCGAUACAGUGAUGGAGAGGAGACGUCAUUGGUGGUGAAGCUGAAGAAAACUGUGAUGACCUGCGCUAAGAAACUGAAUAACUAAAGCAAAUCUUCACUGACCUUCAGUGGCAGCUGUGGUCCACGCAGAUGCUGCAACACUAAGCUGCGGCGGUUAAGCUGGCCCCGGAGGAGUUCAACAUAGACGGCGUUGACUUCUGCCAGGAGUGCACACCGCUGGUCAGUAACCUCAGACGCUGGAUCAAAGAGCAAGAAUGCGUCCAGCUACCUCAACUCGGGCGCGUUUAAUGCACACACACACACACACCGAUCAGAAGUUUUUUACAGAAAUACAGAAGUUUCCAGAAUUCAUAUGCCAUUCAGAGAGUGUCACAUGCAUAUACAUCAGUGAUGGGACCUAACUAAAAGCAGAGAUGACAAGCUUUUACAUUAACAAGAUGUUUUAUUCAACAAGUAGUUGUGUGAGCGUUGUAUUGUACUUGCAGCCUUAAAAUAAUCAAAUUAUCAGAUGUGUCCUAAAGGUUGGCCCAUUGGAAAGUCUAAUUCGUUUCAGAAAAAAGUUCAUUCAGAUGGUUUGUGUAAGUGAACUGGUUCAAACAGAAACUAUUCUAAUCUUGUUGUGCUUCAUUUUGCAAGGUUUUUUUUUUUUUUUUGUGUAACCCUGUUAAAAAGUUCAUUAGUAUAAGAUAUUAAAGUUUGAAUUAAUAAUUUCAUAAUUUAAUAAAUAGAAUUUAAGGUUAAAACAAGCUAAAAUGUAUUGAUCAGGAAUGAAGUUAUCAUUUUGCAAUGAGAGAACUGCAUAUUUGGUAAUGUUCAUGGUUUAAUGAAUACAGCAUUUAAAGUGUUAAAUAUUUUUUGGUAACUAAUAUAUGUGAAAAUGUGUUAAAAAAUGUCUUUAAAAAUAAGAAGAAAGUGUUACACAAAUGUUUGUGAAUUUAUUUUAUUUCUGAAAGUUUUGUUUAUGAGCC